rnacentral:rRNA from 1 species
UACGUAGGUGACAAGCGUUGUCCGGAUUUACUGGGCGUAAAGAGCGCGCAGGCGGUCGAUCAAGUCGAGUGUGAAAGCCCCCGGCUCAACUGGGGAGGGUCAUUCGAUACUGAUCGACUCGAAGGCAGGAGAGGGUAGUGGAAUUCCCGGUGUAGUGGUGAAAUGCGUAGAUAUCGGGAGGAACACCAGUGGCGAAGGCGGCUACCUGGCCUGUUCUUGACGCUGAGGCGCGAAAGCUAGGGGAGCAAACGGG